AUUGAACGCUGGCGGCAGGCCUAACACAUGCAAGUCGAGCGAGCGGCGGACGGGUGAGUAAUGUCUGUGAAACUGCCUGAUGGAGGGGGAUAACUACUGGAAACGGUAGCUAAUACCGCAUACCAUCAGAUGUGCCCAUGUGGGAUUAGCUAGUAGGUGGGGUAACGGCUCACCUAGGCGACGAUCCCUAGCUGGUCUGAGAGGAUGACCAGCCACACUGGAACUGGGACAGUGGCCAUACGCCUACGUGAGGCAGCAGUGGGGAAGAUGGCGCAAUGGGCGCAAGCCUGAUGCAGCCAUGCCGCGUGUGUGAAGAAGGCCUUCGGGUUGUAAAGCCCGUUCAGCGGGGAGGCGUUACCCGCAGAAGAAGCACCGGCUAACUCCGUGCCAGCAGCCGCGGUAAUUC
rnacentral:rRNA from 1 species